rnacentral:rRNA from 1 species
UACGGGGGGAGCAAGCGUUGUUCGGAUUUACUGGGCGUAAAGGGCGCGUAGGCGGUCAGCGCAAGUCAGUUGUGAAAUCUCCGGGCUUAACUCGGAAAGGUCAACUGAUACUGUGCGACUAGAGUGCGGAAGGGGCAACUGGAAUUCUCGGUGUAGCGGUGAAAUGCGUAGAUAUCGAGAGGAACACCUGCGGCGAAGGCGGGUUGCUGGGCCGACACUGACGCUGAUGCGCGAAAGCCAGGGGAGCGAACGGG